ACUUUACACGUGAUGACAGCAUAGUUCAGAUGAAAUUCUUUGAUUACAUCCUUAUUUUGUCUUUCGCUCCUAACUGAUUAUUG
rfam:Dendroctonus ponderosae Seq01025150, whole genome shotgun sequence.